rnacentral:rRNA from 1 species
GACGAACGCUGGCGGCGUGCUUAACACAUGCAAGUCGAACGGAAAGGCCCUGCUUUUGUGGGGUGCUCGAGUGGCGAACGGGUGAGUAACACGUGAGUAACCUGCCCUUGACUUUGGGAUAACUUCAGGAAACUGGGGCUAAUACCGGAUAGGAGCUCCUGCUGCAUGGUGGGGGUUGGAAAGUUUCGGCGGUUGGGGAUGGACUCGCGGCUUAUCAGCUUGUUGGUGGGGUAGUGGCUUACCAAGGCUUUGACGGGUAGCCGGCCUGAGAGGGUGACCGGCCACAUUGGGACUGAGAUACGGCCCAGACUCCUACGGGAGGCACCAAUGGGGAAUAUUUCCCCAGGGGGGAACCCCUAUUGCGCACCCCCCCCUUGGGGAAAAGCGCCCCCUGGGUUUAAAACCCUCUUCCCCGUGGGGCGAAGGUGAGGUACGUAUAUUGGGUAAGAAAGGCCCCGCUUAAUUACGUGCCAGCCAACCCGGGGAAUAAGUAGGGGUCCGAACUUUUUCCCGGAUUUUAUGGGGGGAAAAGGGUUCGGUAGGGGGUUGAUCGCGUCGGAAGUGUAAUCUUGGGGCUUAACCCUGAGCGUGCUUUCGAUACGGGUUGACUUGAGGAAGGUAGGGGAGAAUGGAAUUCCUGGUGGAGCGGUGGAAUGCGCAGAUAUCAGGAGGAACACCAGUGGCGAAGGCGGUUCUCUGGGCCUUUCCUGACGCUGAGGAGCGAAAGCGUGGGGAGCGAACAGGCUUAGAUACCCUGGUAGUCCACGCUGUAAACGGUGGGUACUAGGUGUGGGGUCCAUUCCACGGGUUCCGUGCCGUAGCUAACGCUUUAAGUACCCCGCCUGGGGAGUACGGCCGCAAGGCUAAAACUCAAAGGAAUUGACGGGGCCCCGCACAAGCGGCGGAGCAUGCGGAUUAAUUCGAUGCAACGCGUAGAACCUCACCUGGGUUUGACAUGGAUCGGGAGUGCUCAGAGAUGGGUGUGCCUCUUUUGGGGUCGGUUCACAGGUGGUGCAUGGCUGUCGUCAGCUCGUGUCGUGAGAUGUUGGGUUAAGUCCCGCAACGAGCGCAACCCUUGUUCACUGUUGCCAGCACGUUAUGGUGGGGACUCAGUGGAGACCGCCGGGGUCAACUCGGAGGAAGGUGGGGAUGACGUCAAGUCAUCAUGCCCCUUAUGUCCAGGGCUUCACGCAUGCUACAAUGGCUGGUACAGAGAGUGGCGAGCCUGUGAGGGUGAGCGAGUCUCGGAAAGCCGGUCUCAGUUCGGAUUGGGGUCUGCAACUCGACCUCAUGAAGUCGGAGUCGCUAGUAAUCGCAGAUCAGCAACGCUGCGGUGAAUACGUUCCCGGGGCU